CUCCCCAUGGCUCCGGAGGAGGACUUGCUCUNUUCAAAAGAAAACAUCACUCCAUGGGAUGACAUCUUGAGUUCUUUCUAUCUCACAACAGUUUCUGGAGCCACUGUCCAUUUCCGAGGGUCCCUAGCAACUGCUACACCGUAAUUCCAGAGAGAAUGGACAUGUUUGCACUUGGUGAGUGGAAAGUUCCAGGUCACUCGCUGGAACGGAGCAUUCGCACCUGCAAACAGCCCCAGCUGACUCNAAACUCACUGAAGCCCACCUGAUGCUCACCUGAAGCCUACCAGCUGUUGUCAAGAAAAUUGUAGUCUCCAAGCCAACUAGCGCGAUCAGGUGAGGAUUGGGAGUGGUGUACUUCCUGGUUUGGAAUGCAGUGAGGUGGGGACUGCAUGGCUGCACAGGCGCCGCC
rnacentral:lncRNA from 1 species